rnacentral:rRNA from 1 species
UACGUAGGGAGCAAGCGUUGUCCGGAAUCAUUGGGCGUAAAGCGCGCGUAGGUGGCCCCGUAAGUCCGCUGUGAAAGUCAAAGGCUCAACCUUUGAAAGCCGGUGGAUACUGUGGGACUAGAGUACGGAAGAGGCGAGUGGAAUUCCUGGUGUAGCGGUGGAAUGCGCAGAUAUCUGGAGGAACACCAGCGGCGAAGGCGGCGCUCUGGGCCGGAACUGACGCUGAGGAGCGAAAGCGUGGGUAGCAAACAGG